GACGAACGCUGGCGGCGUGCUUAACACAUGCAAGUCGAACGAAGUGGCGAACGGGUUAGUAACGCGUAAUCAACCUGCCCUUCAGAGGGGGAUAACAGUUGGAAACGACUGCUAAUACCGCAUACUGCAGUAGGGUAUGGCGUCUGAUUAGCUAGUUGGGGGGGUAACGGCCCACCAAGGCGAUGAUCAGUAGCCGGUAGGAGAGGACGACUCGCCACACUUGGACGUAGACACGGCCCAGACUCCUACUGGAGGCAGCAGUGGGGAAUGUUGGACAAUGGGGGAAACCCUGAUCCAGCCAUCCCGCGUGUGCGAUGAAGGCCUGCGGGUUGUAAAGCUCUGUUAAUCGUGACGCGGUACCGGAAUAGAAAGCCACGGCUAACUACGUGCCAGCAGCCGCGGUAAUUC
rnacentral:rRNA from 1 species